AAUAGUCAUAUAAUAUUAUUAGGGGAUGCGGGGCGAAAUUUUAGAAUUUUUGGAGCUUGUUUGAGUGGAUUUUUGCAAAAUAUCAAUUAUAGAGACUAAAACGUAAUUUUUAAGAUUUUGAGUAUUGUCUGAUUUGGAGGGCCCAGGAGGGGCCAUGUGAUAUUGAUGAGAUGUGAUUGUGGAAAUUGAGAAUCUAGAAGUAUUAUUUGAGCCUUUUUGCAGGUUGGGUAGGUCCCAGGUAUAGGGGAAACUCUGCCGGAUUUCCGGCAUGAAUUAGGCUGUCUAUUGCCUCUUUAGAGUUUUAUCUUAACUUAGUACUAAUAAAUUUAUAAUUUAAUUAUUAGGUGAUCGAGGUCAGCUAUUUUUCUACAUCCAGCAGCCACAAUAGUCAUCGGUGUACUGCCACAGGAGGAUAUUUUAUUCUGGGUUAACCUGCUUUUCUACUUCGCAGGUUGUUUAUCAAUAUUUGUGUAAUUUUAUUUACUCCUAGAAUUUUCGCAUGUGUUAGCAGUAAUUAUUUGAAUUUGGUCUGUAAUAUUAUUAUCAUGUUGGACCUGUAAACUUAA